rnacentral:rRNA from 1 species
AGCAGUCGCCACGGGAAUACGAAGGGGGCUAGCGUUGUUCGGAUUUACUGGGCGUAAAGCGCACGUAGGCGGAUUCUUAAGUCAGAGGUGAAAUCCCAAGGCUCAACCUUGGAACUGCCUUUGAUACUGGGGAUCUUGAGUUCGGGAGAGGUGAGUGGAACUGCGAGUGUAGAGGUGAAAUUCGUAGAUAUUCGCAAGAACACCAGUGGCGAAGGCGGCUCACUGGCCCGAUACUGACGCUGAGGUGCGAAAGCGUGGGGAGCAAACAGGAUUAGAUACCCGUGUAGUCCCUGUCUCUUAUAC